rnacentral:lncRNA from 1 species
CUAGCGGGCAGCAAGAAGCACAGCACCGCCAGUUACCACGCAGACAUCCUGGGGAACUGAGAAUCUUAGGAAACAAAAGUGCCACCAUGCCUGGUUUUAUGCACUGCUGGUGAUAGGAAAUAGGGCAGGUUGCCAGGUGACUGCUCUACCAAUGGAACUGUUUCUCCGGCUCUCAGCCCACCACCUACCAGAGGUAGUGGAAAAGAAAGGACAUGGGGGAAGUGGACCUGUUUAGAAGUGGUUCUUUGAAGCAGCUCUCAUCUGUGUUAUCAGGAAAUCGGCAGUUUGGUUUACAGGUCAGCAACAGCAGCUUGAUCCACUUGCAAACACUUCACAGAUACACCAGCAGUCCAGUUCGGGAGAGUCCGAAGAGCAAACAUGAAUCAGCAGUAGUGCCAUCACCUAACAGGGACAUCCAGGCCUCAGCCAGAUCAGCACAAGUCAGCAGGAGGGACCAGAACCAACAGGGACACCAGGAGUUCUUUGCUGUGCCUCUCUCAGUGAAGCAAAGAUCAUCAAAGAUGAGAGACCAAGAAGUAUUGCAGAGCUAGCUCUACAAGCAAGCCCCUCUCAGUCCUAUUUACACUCCCUCCAAAAAUCACGUGCUCUCCACAGCUCUUGCCUCAGCAUGUGAGUCUGUCUUAGCAAAACUCCACGAGUCUAUAUCAGCUGACAUCACUCUGCCAGUUGACCCAAGUCCUCAGAAGCUGCAAGAAGCCGCAGCAUACUACCAGAAGGUUUUUUUGGUGUAUUUCGAUUUCUGGAGUCCUGACAAAUGGCGCUCAACUACACAAUUUAAGGCAGACCAAUACUUGUGUGUUGUUAAUGAAGAAUCCGUCACCAUGUGUCCUUUCACGUGCUUGCUUUAGCAGAAAAUCCUUUCACGCGUGUCUGCUUCAGUGAAACAUUCCUUCACAAGUCUGCCUUAGCAAAACAUCCUUUCACCUGUGUCCACUUCAGGGAAAAACUCCUUCAUGUGUUUGUCCCAGCAAAACACCAUCCAACACAACUGACUUUCCAAAGAACCCUUCAACCUAAAAAAAAAAGAAGAAGACUCGGAAACCACCUUAGAAAUGCAUCUCACAAAAUACCUGCCAGGCCAUUAGAAAACUACAGAAAGAUUUUAAACACAUGUCUGAAAAUACCCUAAAUAUCCUAAAGACACACUUCUUUCCCCAGAAGUAAUCUAUAUAUGUAAUAUGAUUCCAAAUAAAAUUUCAACAGGGUCUUAAAAAAAUAUAGCUCCUCUAAGGCCAAGCUGGAUGACAUGAUGUGGGUGACAUGAUGUGGGUGUAAAACCAUGCCAGGGAGUUUGGUAAGGUAGAGCAGGUCGAGACCCAGAGACUCGGUGGUCACACACCUGAGGCUUAGGUGACUCUUAGCUCCCUGCCAGACUCCUGAUUUGGAACACGUGCCAUGCUUCUCACAUAAAAGAAACCUGUCCUAUGGUCACGUCUGCCCAAAACAGAGUUCCCCGUUCUAAUGAGGUACCUAGAGGCAGAGGAGUGCUUAGCCAAUAAGCUUCCCUUCCCGUUCUUGCCUGCAAAAGGUAUUUAAUCUCAGGCCCACCCUGAAAAGUGAGAUAUAGUUUUACGAAUCCAUUUUCUGCCAUGACAAUAAACUGUUUAGAACCA